ACACCAGAUAUAGCUCAAUAUUUUAAUUCCAUAAAACUAUUAUUAAAUUUAAAAUAAAUCAUUUAUUACAUAUUAAAGUAUAGGCGAUAGAAAUUCUACUUGACGCUAUAGAGAAAGUACCGCAAGGGAACACUGAAAGAAAACCUUAAGUAAUAAACAGCAAAGCUUAAUACUUAUACCUUUUGCAUAAUGACUCAGCUAGAAAACAUUAGCGAAAAGAAUUAAAGUUAAGUCACCCGAAACCAGACGAGCUACCUGACAGCAGCUAACAGAGCAAACUCAUCUAUGUGACAAAAUAGUGAAACGACUGUCCGGUAGUGGCGACAAACCUAUCGAGCCUGGUGAUAGCUGGUUAUCCAGAGUAGAAUUUUAGUUCUAACUUUAAUCUACCAAACAGAUAAGCAAGCUAAAAAUGUAGAUUUAAGUGAUAAUCUAAAAAGGUACAGCUUUUUAGACAAGGGAUACAACCCCUAUUAGAGAAUAAAUUAUGGUUGGCCUAAAAGCAGUCAUCAACUAAGAAAGCGUUAAAGCUCAACAGUACAAAAAUUUAAUUUCAUAAUAAAAAUAUAAAUCCUAAUACAAAACUGGAUCACUCUAUUUAUAAAUAGAAGUGACACUGCUGAUAUGAGUAAUAAGAAAAAUUUCUCCCUGCACAUGUGUAUAUCAGAACGGAUAGACCACUGAUAAUUACCAAAAUAAACAUUAAUAAUUACUAAACCUUUAAUACUAAUUGUUAGCCCAACACAGGAGUGCAACCAAGGAAAGAUUCAAAGAAAUAAAAGGAACUCGGCAAACAUAAACCCCGCCUGUUUACCAAAAACAUCACCUCUAGCAUAAAAAGUAUUAGAGGCACUGCCUGCCCGGUGACCUAAGUUUAACGGCCGCUGGUAUCCUGACCGUGCAAAGGUAGCAUAAUCACUUGUUCCCUAAAUAGGGACUAGUAUGAAUGGCCACACGAGGGUUUUACUGUCUCUUAUUUCAACUCAGUGAAAUUGACAUUCCCGUGAAGAGGCGGGAAUAAGAAAAUAAGACGAGAAGACCCUAUGGAGCUUUAAUUCACUAACUCAUAUUACUAUCCUAACUCCUCACGGGGAAUAAACCCACUAUUAGUGAGUUAGCAAUUUAGGUUGGGGUGACCUCGGAAUAAAACCUAACCUCCGAGAAACAUUUUUAAGACCUACAAGUCAAAAUCAUAUACUAACACACAAUGAUCCGCCAAUGACGAUCAACGAAACAAGUUACCCUAGGGAUAACAGCGCAAUCCUAUUCAAGAGUCCAUAUCGACAAUUAGGGUUUACGACCUCGAUGUUGGAUCAGGACAUCCCAAUGGUGUAGCAGCUAUUAAUGUGUUCGUUUGUUCAACGAUUAAAGUCCUACGUGAUCUGAGUUCAGACCGGAGUAAUCCAGGUCGGUUUCUAUCUAUUAACAAGUCCCUCCCAGUACGAAAGGACAAGAGAGACAGGGCCCACUUUAAAUAAGCGCCCUAACAAAACAGAUGAAAUAAUCUUAAUCCUAUUAUUAUCUACCAGUUAUUCUAGAAUAAGAAAAACUAAAUAAA
rnacentral:rRNA from 1 species